GACGAACGCUUGCGACGUGCCUAAGAAAUGCAAGUCGAACGGGGAGCAAUCCCUAGUGGCGAACGGUCGCGUAACACGUGGGCAACCUGCCCUGAAGCGGGGGACAACAAGUCGAAAGAUUUGCUAAUACCGCAUGUGUCUCGCUGUGGCAUCACAGAGGAGACAAAGCCGCAAAGGCACUUCAGGAUGGGCCCGCGGCCUAUCAGCUUGUUGGUGAGGAACGGCCCACCAAGGCUUCGACGGGUAGCUGGUCUGAGAGGACGAUCAGCCGGAUUGGGACUGAGAUACGGCCCAGACUCCUACGGGGGGCGA
rnacentral:rRNA from 1 species